GGUGGGAUGGCUGAGUGGACGAAAGCGAUUGUUUCGAAAACAAUUAUCCUGAGUAAUCGGGAUCACAGGUUCGAAUCCUGUUCCCACCGCUA
rnacentral:tRNA from 3 species